AGAAUAUUCAUCAGUGGGGGACCCUCUUCCUCCAAAUGGAGGACAAAUUGGCAGCAACAUAAAGGCUGCAAAUGUUCCCCACUGCCUCAUUAGCAAUAUAAGUGUGGUCUCCCCCCACUUUUUUUUUUUUUGCUUGAGGAAGAUUCGCCCUGAGCUAAUAUUUGUGCCAAUCUGCCUCAAUUUUGUAUGGGGGUUGCCAACACAGUAUGGCUGAGGAUUGGCAUAGGUCCAUGCCCAGGAUUUGAACCCAGGCUGCCAAAGCGGAGUGCGCAGAACUUAACCACAACACUAUGGCGCUGGUCUUAAUAUAAGUGUGUUUUGAAACAAAUUUAUCUGUGACUCUCAUCCUAAAGGUUUGAGGCCUCACGUUAGGCUAUAGUAAGAUUUUUCUGGUACUUCGGGGAGCUAAAUCCCCUUGGGCUGAACUCAGUUAGAACUCAAGCAGAACCACGCAACUGUAAGAAUCCACAGUAUUUCUUCCUCACAGAUUUCAUUAUGUGGUCUCCUCAAAUUGAUCAGUGAAAAAUCAGAAUCUAGAAACAUAAUCACAAUUCAGGGCAUUACAUGCCUGUUAUCUCAUUAUUUUUCUGGAAAAAUACUAUCAGUCCAUUAAGCUGGAUAAUAGAAGAAUUAUUGUGGGUGCUAUUUAUUGGGCAGCUCCUAUUGGUCAGGAGCUUUUCCCUCCUUAUUCCUCACGACGCUUCGAAGCUCGUUAUUUCCAUUUCAUAGAUAAGGAAGUUGGGAUGGCCACGUGGAAUCAGGAUCCACUCCCAGGUCUCCCGGGAUUUGGCACCCAGGCACCUUGCCACCGGGCCACACCUCCUUGAGGGUGUAUGUCCAGUCCUACGUCCUCCCAGCGACCUUGCAUAGUCAUGCUUUUCGUGCACAAUCUUUCUUAUGUUUCUCACAGACAAAAAGUAACUCAUAUGUUAGAAAUGGAAGAUAUUUUUUCCGGGAUAUUUCCAUUUCAUUUAAUCAAUGAGACCACGCCAAAGGUGAUGAGCAACUUCCUAAAAGAAGAGGUGGGACUUAAGUGUCUAUUGCAAUGUAUUAAAAUCAACUUGAUAUUUUGUCAGAGAGGGGGCAAUAGGUGGGGAGGGGUUAGUUACUUGAGAACUGCUUUUUAUCAACUUUUGCUUUGUAAAUUAUUGUCAACAUAUUUUCCUUUUGACAUGCAGUCAAUUUAGUCUUUUAAUAUGAAAAAUCCUAGUAAAUUUUUUUCUUUGCUCCUUCCUCUUUUUUCUUUUUUCUUUUUUUUUAAGAUUGACACCUGAACUAACAUCUGUUGCCAAUCUUUUCUUCUUCCUCCCCCUCCCCCUCCUCCUCCUCCUCCUUUUUCUUCUUCUUCUCCCCAAAGCCCCCCGGUGCGUAGCUGUACAUUCUAGUCGUGAGUGCCUCUGGUUGUGCUAUGUGGGACGCCACCUCAGCAUGGCCUGAUGAGUGGUGCCAUGUCCACACCCAGGAUCUGAACUGGCAAAACCCUGGGCCGCCGAAGUGGAGCACACGAACUGAACCACUUGGCCACGGGGUCAGCCCCCCGCUCCUUCCUCCUAAUCCAAAAUGUUACUAUUAUAAAUAUAUUUUAAAACAAAUUUUAAACAUUAUAUUUAAAACAAAGACAUUUUUGUUUUAUAAAAGGGCAGAAAUUUGAAUAGAAAUCAGAAGACUCCAUUCUCUAUAAUCACAUAAGUUCAGUUUUCUUUGUUGAAAAUGACUAUUUCAGAAUGAUUAUAAUGGUGUUAAUAUGUGAGUACAAAACCUCUUAGGAAAGUAACGAUGUUGGUUGUUUACUUUAAAUUUUAUUAAUGUAAGAAGAGAAUACUUGAUGGCUAUUAUUGGAUGCCUGAGUUCACUUCCCUUAGGAAAGAAGGGAGAGAAACAGAGGAUGUAAUUAGGGUGGAACACAAUGAGGGUUGGAGAGGGUGGAAGGACACAAUGACACUUCCCUCCCAGGCCAGCCCUAAGAGCCAGCAGGGACUGUGGACAAGGCAGCAGUUCAACCCUGCACACAUCAGUAGUUGUGCACUUGAGUUUCCUCAUCUCUAAGACCACAGGGCUUGGCCAGCCGGCCUCCAAAGACCUUUCCAGAGCUUUGUCAGUCUGUGAUUUUGAAACAGAACUUGAUUCCAUUUGAGAAGAUUAACAAUCAGAAACGAGGAAUGUCAGCAGCAAUGGCUGGCUCUUUACCUGUCCUACACCACACAGAUGUGUUGCUGGGGUACACCACACAGCCUUACCACUCUAACUCAAGAAAUAACAUAUGCCAGCAAUAGUACUCACACGUGACAGUAGGAAAGUUAUCACAGAUUCACAAAUUAUUUUAACCACUUUAGAAAAACACCUAUCUUUGUUCAAUAUUCAAUCUGUCAUAUCAAACCCACCAGAAUUAUCUUGCUGGCUGUCUUAAAAAACUUACCAUUAUAUUAUUGAAUAAAUAAAGAACUUAUAACUAGUUUAAUUGCAAAAAGAUUAUUUUAAAAUGUUUUUCUUCUCUUACAUCAUAUAAUUAACCUAGUGUCAUGGAUGAAAAGGAAUGCUGCUAGUUAAGGCAAUAGAAUUACGAGGUGCUGAAUGGUAAGUAGUACCUAUUUGAUAAGAGGAGUAUCUUCUGUUCACUCCCAUAUGGCUUUUCUCUUGUCACGUGUCAAGGAGUAGGAACCAAAGCCCUAAGUACAAUAGUCGUUAUUUAUACUUGCUCCUCAACAUUCACUGAGUGUACAUUAUGUGCCAGCUUCAUGCUAAAGGCUAAAGGGUAGAGACAGAAUGAUGAGCAAGACACAUUCUGGUCCUCUGUUGACUUAUAGGGACUGAGGGGAAAUGAGACUGGCACCAGGAGGACGAAGAGCCCAGGGGAGGAAAACAAGAUCUGAAUUAGGGUGAUAGUGAGCAGGGAGAAGAGGUGAAACAUUUGAAAGAUAUUUAGGAGGUAGAAUCAACAGGACUUUAGUAACAGUUAGUAUGUGGAACAAGAGAGGAGCCUGGAAGAUGCAAAGGGAUUUCUUGACCAUGAGAAACAAGACACAGUGACUGGAUUUAAUGUGUGAGUCCAGUUCUUGUCACUUAGGGAAAUAUUCAGUUUCAAAUCUCAUCGUUAAUAAAAAGCCAUUGUAAGAACAUAAUAGAAGAAAUCAGAUGACUUCUGCCUGAGAUUCUGACCAAUGGGGUACUGAAACUUGCCACUGGACACUCCAUGGCUUAAGCUGGUCAUUUAUUAAAUAUAAAUGAUGUCUUCUUUUGAGCUCAUAAUAAACUCAAGUGCUGAAGGCCAUGGGCUAUAAAACAGUUUUAAUCUAGGCUGUGUUUAUUUAACAACUUAUCUCUUCUUUUCUUCUACUGAAUCUCCCAUGGCACAGAUUGCCCAUGAAGGACCUGUAAAUAGCCAAGCCAAAUGGAUUGUUUUCAAUCCACAUCUUCCUUGACCUCUCUACAGCCUUUGAAACUUUUGACCACUUUCUCCAUGAAAUCCUCUCCCCUCUGACUUCCAUGCACCAGUCACUUUGGUUCUCUUCCUUUCCAUGGCUUCUCCCCCUCAGUCUCCUCUGAAGGCUCCUUUGCUCUGCUCAACCCUUAAAGACUGGUGACCUCAGUUACCACUUUGGGGCUGAUGCCUCUCACCUCCAUAUCUGUAGCCCAGUCCCCUCUCCUUCCCUAAUGAGCUCUACAUCUAUUCUUCUGGAUGUCCCUCAGACACAUCAAACUCAAGAUGUUCAUCAUGGAGCUGGUCAUCUCCUUGUCCUCAACACCUGCUCUUCUUCCUGUAUCUUCAGCUCAUUUGCCAGCACUCAUGACACUCAGGACAAACUUGAGACUUGGAGUCAUCCUUGACUCCUUACACCUGAGUUGAUCACUAUAUCCUGACAAUGCUACCUCUUAAAUAUUUCUCCACUGUGUCCGCUUUCUCUGUGCCAACUGUGAUGAUCCUGGUUCAGCCCCUCCAUUUUCUCUUACUCAGACUCCUUUGCUCCCAGCCUUGUCUUUCUUAAGAAAUGUCCUCCAAGCAAGCUCUAGAAUGAGCUCUUUAAUAUUCAAAUCUGCUCUUAUUUCUCUCCUGCUUUAAAUUCUUCUGCGGCUCCCCUUCACACUAAGGGUACAGCCAAGCUCCUCUGCAUGGCACCCAUGUGUAUUCAGCUCCUCCCCAAGAAUGUGUGAGUUCCUCGAGAACAGGGACUAUCUGAGGUGAGCAGGAGAGGUGGGACUGGGAGUUUUGGAGUUAGAAGAGUAGCAGAGUAGCUGCUGAGGAUGUUAUUUUUAGUCUUCCUAGCCAUAGCUAAAAUCUUACCUAAACCCUACAGCAGGAGUAUUUCAAGUUUAAAAACAAUUUACAUGUUGUAGGGGAAUUUACUAUGGUCAUGGAAUCCAAGAAGAAUCUCCAGGAAGGAAUACAGAGAGAAAGUAAAUUUGAAUUUUCAUACCAACGAGCAGUGGUUUAUUGAAGAAGAAUUGUUUUCAGCAUUAUUUUUGACACAUGGAGAACCAGAUGUGCCCAGGGUCAAAAGAAUGGACAAUAAGUUUGAAGCAAUGUUCCUCUUAAAUUGUUUAUAUUUGUGGCCAUUAUUUUGAAACAUUUGCAAAAAAAUUUUGAUCUUUAAACUUUUUCCCUUGGUGUUCUUAUAAAAUAAAAAUUGAAACGAU
ensembl:lncRNA